UGGCUCAGGACGAACGCUGGCGGCGUGCUUAACACAUGCAAGUCGAACGGUGAAGGAGGAGCUUGCUCCUCUGGAUCAGUGGCGAACGGGUGAGUAACACGUGAGUAACCUGCCCUUGACUCUGGGAUAACCUCGGGAAACCGAAGCUAAUACCGGAUACGACCCUCGGAGGCAUCUCCAGGGGGUGGAAAGAAUUUCGGUCAAGGAUGGACUCGCGGCCUAUCAGGUAGUUGGUGAGGUAACGGCUCACCAAGCCGACGACGGGUAGCCGGCCUGAGAGGGUGACCGGCCACACUGGGACUGAGACACGGCCCAGACUCCUACGGGAGGCAGCAGUGGGGAAUAUUGCACAAUGGGCGCAAGCCUGAUGCAGCAACGCCGCGUGAGGGACGACGGCCUUCGGGUUGUAAACCUCUUUUAGUAGGGAAGAAGCGAAA
rnacentral:rRNA from 1 species